ensembl:lincRNA Gm29507 predicted gene 29507
AUGUGCUCAGGCUACACCCAGUGCAGCUCACAGUCACUUCUGCUGCUUGCUGACCAAGAUGUAUAACUCUCAACUCCUUCUCCAGCACCAUGUCUGCCUAUAUGUCACCAUGAUGAUAAUGAACUAAACCUCAAAACUUCGAGGUUCUGUGUGCCCUCCUCUUGUUGCCUUGGAUCCUGCCUGCUCAGCUUUUAUCAGGACUAAGGAAGUAUCUUCAGGGAGCUUUUUCUGAAAUCCAGGCUAACGGCAUGAGAUGCUUUUGUGCUGCAAGAUGCUCGGAGGAAACUGGUAAAGGGACCUCUUUGCUGGCUUUCUAUUGCUGUGGUAAAUACCACGAUCAAAAGUGACGUGGGGAGGAAAGGGUUAAUUUAAUCUCAAAGCUUACAGUCCAUCAUGGAGGAAACUCGGGGCAGGAAGUCAAGGCAAGAACCUGAAGCUAGGAACUGAAGCAGAGGCCUUGGGGACAUGGUGACUGUUGGCUUUCUCUUAGGGCUCAUGGUUAGCUACUCUAUACCUCCCAGGACUAUCUGCCCAGGGUGGAGCCACUCAGAGUGGGCGGGGCCUCACACAUCAAUCAUCAAUCAAGAAAAAGCCCCACAGACUUGCCCACAAGUCAAUCUGAUGGAGACAUUUGCUCAGUUGAGGUUCCCUCCUCUGAGAUGACCCCAACUUGUGCCAAGUUGACAGAAAGCAAAGAGUACAGGGAGAAAGUACUUCAGGUGAACUUUUGAAGGAUUCCUGUAUUUUAAAGCAUGGAAGGCUGUUUACAUCAUGAUGAACCAAGAAACAGAAAGAACCCUUGGGAACAAGAGUUGGGCUAUAACCUUCAAAGCCCAGCCCCAGUGACUCACUUCUGCCGGUUCAUAAGGAUUCAAUGUGGUUUCUAAAUAGUACCACUGGCUGGGACAUAAUCACUCAAAAUGUGGGCUUGCGGUUCAGAGUCAAGCCCUACCACAACCUCAGGGGUGUUGCCUGCACAAGCAUGCUCUCUCAUCUACAUGUCAUGGUCUCUCCUACUGGGUGUGUCAUCUACAUAUCAAAGUUUGUAAGGACUUAAAAUAGUGAGCCUUGCCUGAAAUGCCUUCAGAACUGAGAUACAGAGAGUGCCUGAUAGAUCGUUCCACGAGCUUUAGGUUGAGUCACGGUUGGAAUGGAUGGGACCAUCCUCAGCUCCUAGAGAAAUAGUGGGAAGGAAUUUGAAUGGAGCCUGGCAAAGACAAUGGCUACCUGGCUGGCCUAAGAAAGAGACCACUAAGUAAGGCACCCCGUUCUCUAGUAGAUGGCUUUCCAGGUCCUGCUCAGGCUCUCCAGUUGCUACACAAAUACAGUGAAGAAGAACAGUCAACCUAUACUGUACACACGGCAGAAACAGCGCAGCUCAGUGCCCGCACUCUACGAAACCAGCAAUCCCAGGUGAAUUCCCACGGUUGACUGAACUCAUUAGUUUGUUCAUAUCUUAGAUACAUUUAUUUGAUCUGCAAAUAUAUAUUAGAAAUCAUGUGAGGAAGGCUGGAGACCAGCAGAGACGUGCAAGAAUUGUCAACAUCAGAACAUUUUCCUUUUGGCUGGAAGAAUGAUAUGAGCAGAGCCCAGGGUUUGCGGCUGUAGUGGGAGGACGGAUAGCAGGUAACAAGAAACAGAUCUAGUCUUCUACUGACCCAAAUUCUGGAGCAGCCUAUGGUUAUUAUUGAGAACUACAAGGAAGAAAGGGGAAGAGAUGAUUAGGUGCAAGUCUGUAUCUUCUACACUGAAUAUAGUUCCUUCCUGGAUAGGAAUAUAUGUUUUUGUAAGACCAUUGGCCCAUCAAACAGUGGAGUCUGGUGAUUCUGUGAAUCAGAACAUUGUCAAAUGCAUCCAUUCAUGUCAUGGAGAAAGAUGGAGUCUUCAAACUACAAAGCUGUUGGGUUGGUACUGGCCAGAAUUCUAGGACAAUUGUAUCACAUUUGCCUACUAGUAAGCAAAACCUCCAAUCAGUUGAUCCAGCUUUCUCAUGAUAAAAGCAGUCUUUAGGCAAGCAUUGGCUUCAUUACUCAAGGAUGGCAGGACUGAGAGACUCUUCUUGGCAUUUCUCUUGUCACUUAACCUCAGGAUGGUCAGUAGG